GUGGGGAAUUUUGGACAAUGGGCGCAAGCCUGAUCCAGCCAUGCCGCGUGCGGGAAGAAGGCCUUCGGGUUGUAAACCGCUUUUGUCAGGGAAGAAACGCUCUGGGCUAAUACCCCGGGGUAAUGACGGUACCUGAAGAAUAAGCACCGGCUAACUACGUGCCAGCAGCCGCGGUAAUACGUAGGGUGCAAGCGUUAAUCGGAAUUACUGGGCGUAAAGCGUGCGCAGGCGGUCUUGCAAGACAGAUGUGAAAUCCCCGGGCUUAACCUGGGAACUGCAUUUGUGACUGCAAGGCUGGAGUGCGGCAGAGGGGGAUGGAAUUCCGCGUGUAGCAGUGAAAUGCGUAGAUAUGCGGAGGAACACCGAUGGCGAAGGCAAUCCCCUGGGCCUGCACUGACGCUCAUGCACGAAAGCGUGGGGAGCAAACAGGA
rnacentral:rRNA from 1 species